GAGAGAUGCCAUGAGUAUUGCUCCUUUUAUGGCAUAAUCCUGCUCGUAAUAUGCUACUUAUCGCAUAUUAUCGUCUGAAGGCGCUUCCCUGCUAAGGAAGUAACAUCGUAAGGUGUUCGUGGGUUCGAAUCCCACCCUCUCCG
rnacentral:tRNA from 1 species